rnacentral:rRNA from 1 species
CCGGGACGGGCCUCUCCAGGCCCGAACCCUCAACCCUGUGUACCUGACCUGUUGCUUCGGCGGGCCCGCUGGGGGCCCCCACCGUCGGCCCACGGGCGGGCGAGCGCCCGCCGAAGGCCCCCCAAACCCCGUCAGCCGGUGACGUCUGAGCCCCACGCAAUCGUGAAAACUUUCAACAACGGAUCUCUUGGUUCCGGCAUCGAUGAAGAACGCAGCGAAAUGCGAUAAGUAAUGUGAAUUGCAGAAUUCAGUGAAUCAUCGAAUCUUUGAACGCACAUUGCGCCCCCCGGCGUUCCGGGGGGCAUGCCUGUCCGAGCGUCGUCGCACCCCUCAAGCUCCGCUUGGUGUUGGGCCCCCGUCCCCCGGGACGCGCCCGAAAGUGAUUGGCGGCGCGGCCCGGCUUCGAGCGUAGUAGUGACUCCAAACCCGCUCCGGAAGCCUAUCGGGUCCGCCCCGGCCAGACAGCCCGGCUGCACACUUUCGACAGUCGACCUCGGAU